CAGCAACCAAAUCGUAUGACGUAAUUGUAUACAAUAAACUUAUCUUACUCAUGUCUAGCGCCAUGUUUUGAUGUAAGAGUAGUGUCCUUAAAAUCCACUACAUCACGGAAUGUUACGUUUCAAUAAAGUAUGAAUGAAGUGGUAUGGGAAACCCGACCGCCUGAAAUGCUCGCCAACGGUCAGUCGGAAAUGAACAAUGUCCACUUCGUGCGACACGGAGCGACGCGUUCCCAAGACGAUGCAAUGGUUGGAUAUUUUUUUCAGCGACCACAAACAGAUCCCGCGUUUCAGAAUUACCAUAAUAAGCAGUCACGCUGGGCAUUAGGAGAUGACAGUGUAUUAGAGGUUCGUGCUAGUAGUGACUCCACCGAAUUAGAAAGUGACUUCCAGGCGCUCGCUUUAGAGACUAGUCAUCCUUUAGAG